GCGGGUAUGGUUCAGUGGUAGAACACAUCCUUCCCAAGGAUGAGAUACGGGUUCGAUUCCCGUUACCCGCU
rnacentral:tRNA from 1 species